CGUCGGAUGAAUGGCACGACAAUGGGCCUCAGGAUCUCGUCACGGUAUCUGUGCAUUCAAAUUGCCAUUGAUAAAAUGCAAUUGUGUUCAUUGUCCGUCGCUUAUGCCUGCAACACCACCACCAUGAGGGACUCUGGUCACAACUUUGACAUCAACAGACCGCUUGCCCACACGACGCCAUGCACGCUGUCUGCCAUCUGCCUGGUACAGCUCAAACCCGGGAUUCCAACGUGUCAGUGGCCAUCGAAGAAAGAGCUGUUCAGUCAACCAUGAUUUACCUUAAGAGGCAUGAUCUUGAAGAACACCUCAGCGUACAUGGCUAGGCUCUGGGCCAUGUGUUCCAUCUCACUGGACUUGAUGUAUCCAACUUCAUUUUCAAGAAUCCUUAGGGGGGGAUCCAGUUCUCCAGCACCUGCUUGACUGAGUCUGGCAUCUUGUGACCCGCCCAGUACAUGGCCUUGGAGACCGAGUCAGGGAAGAAACCCUGCUCUCCAAAAAGGG